rnacentral:rRNA from 1 species
GUGGGGAAUAUUGGACAAUGGGCGAAAGCCUGAUCCAGCCAUGCCGCGUGUGUGAAGAAGGUCUUCGGAUUGUAAAGCACUUUAAGUUGGGAGGAAGGGCAGUAAGUUAAUACCUUGCUGUUUUGACGUUACCGACAGAAUAAGCACCGGCUAACUUCGUGCCAGCAGCCGCGGUAAUACGAAGGGUGCAAGCGUUAAUCGGAAUUACUGGGCGUAAAGCGCGCGUAGGUGGUUUUGUAAGUUGGAGGUGAAAUCCCCGGGCUCAACCUGGGAACUGCCUCCAAAACUGCAUGACUAGAGUACGGUAGAGGGUAGUGGAAUUUCCUGUGUAGCGGUGAAAUGCGUAGAUAUAGGAAGGAACACCAGUGGCGAAGGCGACCACCUGGACUGAUACUGACACUGAGGUGCGAAAGCGUGGGGAGCAAACAGGAUUAGAAACCCCAGUAGUCC